rnacentral:rRNA from 1 species
AUUGAACGCUGGCGGCAGGCCUAACACAUGCAAGUCGAACGAGUGGCGGACGGGUGAGUAAUGUCUGGGAAACUGCCUGAUGGAGGGGGAUAACUACUGGAAACGGUAGCUAAUACCGCAUACCAUCGGAUGUGCCCAGAUGGGAUUAGCUAGUAGGUGGGGUAAAGGCUCACCUAGGCGACGAUCCCUAGCUGGUCUGAGAGGGUGACCAGGCACACGGGAACGGAGAAGCGGUCGAGACUCCGAAGGGAGGAAGCAGUGGGGAAUAUUGCACAAUGGGCGAAAGCCUGAUGCAGCCAUGCCGCGUGUAUGAAGAAGGCCUUCGGGUUGUAAAGGACUUUAAGCGGGGAGGCGUUACCCGCAGAAGAAGCACCGGCUAACUCCGUGCCAGCAGCCGCGGUAAUAC